CCUACGGGUGGCUGCAGUGGGGAAUAUUGCACAAUGGGCGCAAGCCUGAUGCAGCCAUGCCGCGUGUGUGAAGAAGGCCUUCGGGUUGUAAAGCACUUUCAGCGGGGAGGAAGGCGGUGAGGUUAAUAACCUCAUCGAUUGACGUUACCCGCAGAAGAAGCACCGGCUAACUCCGUGCCAGCAGCCGCGGCAAUACGGAGGGUGCAAGCGUUAAUCGGAAUUACUGGGCGUAAAGCGCACGCAGGCGGUCUGUCAAGUCGGAUGUGAAAUCCCCGGGCUCAACCUGGGAACUGCAUUCGAAACUGGCAGGCUAGAGUCUUGUAGAGGGGGGUAGAAUUCCAGGUGUAGCGGUGAAAUGCGUAGAGAUCUGGAGGAAUACCGGUGGCGAAGGCGGCCCCCUGGACAAAGACUGACGCUCAGGUGCGAAAGCGUGGGGAGCAAACAGGAUUAGAUACCCGAGUAGUC
rnacentral:rRNA from 1 species